UCUGAAAAGAUUUGGUAGCCACAAGCGUUCUCUAGACCUAAACACUGUUAAAAGUCUUGAAAAAAGUAAACAAACUCUCCAGUAAGCCUUCACCCACCAAGACAACAGUUUUGGAGUUAACAUAGAGGAGAUAUCAAAAGAGUGGUGAGAGUGUGGUGCCUUAAGAGGACCCGUUGUGAUUCUUUGACACCACAGGACCGGGACAC
rnacentral:lncRNA from 1 species